rnacentral:rRNA from 1 species
ACGGUCCUAAGGUAGCGAAAUUCCUUGUCAGGUAAGUUCUGACCCGCACGAAAGGUGUAACGAUUUGGGCGCUGUCUCGGCAGCAGACUCGGUGAAAUCUUAGUACCUGUGAAAAUGCAGGUUACCCGCAACUAGACGGAAAGACCCCAUGGAGCUUUACUGCAGCCUGAUAUUGAAUUCUGGUCAUACAUGUACAGGAUAGGUGGGAGACAAAGAGACGUGCACGCCAGUGUACGAGGAGUCGACGUUGGGAUACCACUCUUGUGUGACCGGGGUUCUAACCUGGUAUCGAGAACAGGUACGGGGAGAGUGUCAGGUGGGCAGUUUGACUGGGGCGGUCGCCUCCCAAAGAGUAACGGAGGCGCCCAAAGGUACGCUCAGAUUGGAUGGAAACCAAUCGUCGAGUGCAAUUGCAGAAGCGUGCUUGACUGUGAGACAGACAAGUCGAACAGGGACGAAAGUCGGGAAUAGUGAUCCGGCGGUGCCGAAUGGAAGGGCCGUCGCUCAACGGAUAAAAGCUACCCUGGGGAUAACAGGCUGAUCUCCCCCAAGAGUCCACAUCGACGGGGAGGUUUGGCACCUCGAUGUCGGCUCAUCGCAUCCUGGGGCUGAAGUAGGUCCCAAGGGUUGGGCUGUUCGCCCAUUAAAGCGGUACGCGAGCUGGGUUCAGAACGUCGUGAGACAGUUCGGUCCCUAUCUGUUGUGGGCGAAGGAGAUCUGCGGAGAGCUGUCCUCAGUACGAGAGGACCGGGAUGGACCUACCGCUGGUGCACCGGUUGUUCCGCCAGGGGCAUAGCCGGGUAGCUAAGUAGGGAAAGGAUAAGCGCUGAAAGCAUCUAAGCACGAAGCCUACUCCAAGAUGAGAUCUCCCAUUCGCAAGAAGUAAGACCCCUUAAAGACGAUAAGGUAGAUAGGCCAGGGAUGGAAGUGCAGUGAUGUACGGAGUUGACUGGUACUAAUCGGUCGAGGACUUAAUCAG